GGGUGAUUUGUGCUUCAUCCGCUGCGUACCAUGCAGUCGACGAUGAUGCCGCUUGCUGGUGGAUUAGUGGCGAGGGUGAGUAACACGUGAGUAACCUGCCCUUGACUCUGGGAUAAGCCUGGGGAUACUGGGUCUAUAUACCGGAUAUGACUCCUCAUCGCAUGGUGGGGGGUGGAGUGCUUUUGUGGUUUUGGAUGGACUCGCGGCCUAUCAGCUUGUUGGUGAGGUAAUGGCUCACCAAGGCGACGACGGGUAGCCGGCCUGAGAGGGUGACCGGCCACACUGGGACUGAGACACGGCCCAGACUCCUACGGGAGGCAGCAGUGGGGAAUAUUGCACAAUGGGCGAAAGCCUGAUGCAGCGACGCCGCGUGAGGGAUGACGGCCUUCGGGUUGUAAACCUCUUUCAGUAGGGAAGAAGCGAAAGUGACGGUACCUGCAGAAGAAGCGCCGGCUAACUACGUGCCAGCAGCCGCGGUAAUACGUAGGGCGCAAGCGUUAUCCGGAAUUAUU
rnacentral:rRNA from 1 species